rnacentral:rRNA from 1 species
GGAACUGGAGGAACUCUGAGCAGCGACGCCGCGUGAGUGACGAAGGCCUUCGGGUCGUAAAGCUCUGUUGAAUGGGAAAAAACAAAUGAUGGUACCAUUCGAGAAAGGACCGGCUAACUUCGUGCCAGCAGCCGCGGUAAGACGAGGGGUCCUAGCGUUGCUCGGAAUCAUUGGGCGUAAAGCGUAUGUAGGCGGCCUUAUAAGUCAGGUGUGAAAUCCCCGGGCUCAACCCGGGACGUGCAUUUGAUACUGUAAGGCUUGAGUAUGGGAGAGGAUAGUAGAAUUCCUGGUGUAGUGGUGAAAUACGUAGAUAUCAGGAGGAAUACCGGUGGCGAAGGCGGCUAUCUGGCCCAAUACUGACGCUGAGAUACGAAA